rnacentral:tRNA from 1 species
AAAUUUUCUAGUUUAAUUAUAUUUAAAAUAUUUAGUUGUGGUCUAAAAGAUUUGAAAAUU